UACGUAGGGUGCAAGCGUUGUCCGGAAUUAUUGGGCGUAAAGAGCUCGUAGGCGGUCUGUUGCGUCGGCUGUGAAAACCCGGGGCUCAACCCCGGGCCUGCAGCCGAUACGGGCAGACUAGAGUUCGGCAGGGGAGACUGGAAUUCCUGGUGUAGCGGUGAAAUGCGCAGAUAUCAGGAGGAACACCGGUGGCGAAGGCGGGUCUCUGGGACGGUACUGACGCUGAGACGCGAAAGCGUGGGGAGCGAACAGG
rnacentral:rRNA from 1 species